rnacentral:rRNA from 1 species
UACGUAGGUCCCGAGCGUUGUCCGGAUUUAUUGGGCAUAAAGCGAGCGCAGGUGGUUUAUUAAGUCUGGUGUAAAAGGUAGUGGCUCAACCAUUGUAUGCAUUGGAAACUGGUAGACUUGAGUGCAGAAGAGGAGAGUGGAAUUCCAUGUGUAGCGGUGAAAUGCGUAGAUAUAUGGAGGAACACCGGUGGCGAAAGCGGCUCUCUGGCCUGUAACUGACACUGAGGCUCGAAAGCGUGGGGAGCAAACAGG